rnacentral:lncRNA from 1 species
ACCUCAGAUUUGAAGAUUUUUAUCUCGAAUUUGAAGGAUUUACCUUAGAGGGAGACUCUUAGAAAAUCUUUGGAGGACUAACUUACCAGACCCCAGCAAAGUCCAAGUCAUGCGAGAAGCAGAGAGAGAUCCUUAGGGAACCUCCGGAAGGCUAACUUACUAGAUCCUCGAGAAGACCUCGAUGACUUUGAGGCGGGGCUAACUUACUAGACCUCAGCAAAGCCCAA